CAGGGCCAGACCCUGUCCAAAGGCGGCUGCAUGGAGGGCGGCGGUGGCAACUCGAAGGGCUCAGGCCUCGGCGGCCUGUUCGGUGCUGGAGGAGCCGGGGGCCCGGGCUAUUCCCACGCGGACCUGGCCGGGGUGCCGUUAACUGGAAUGAGCCCUCUGUCUCCUUAUUUAAAUGUGGAUCCCAGAUAUUUAAUACAGGAUACAGAUGAGUUUAUCUUACCCACAGGAGCGAACAAAACUCGGGGAAGGUUUGAGCUGGCCUUUUUUACCAUUGGAGGGUGUUGUAUGACAGGGGCUGCAUUUGGCGCACUGAAUGGUUUGCGGCUGGGAUUGAAGGAGACACACAGCAUGGCCUGGUCCAAACCUAGAAAUGUACAAAUUUUAAAUAUGGUGACAAGGCAAGGAGCUCUAUGGGCCAACACUCUGGGAUCCUUAGCAUUGCUUUACAGCGCAUUUGGAGUCAUCAUAGAGAAAACACGAGGUGCAGAAGAUGACCUGAACACAGUAGCUGCUGGGACCAUGACAGGAAUGCUAUACAAAUGCACAGGAAAUGAUGUUAGGAAUUAAUGUUAUCUGAAACCCGUAUAUCUGUUUUGAGUUAGUGAAAACUAUAGGCUAAAAAUGUGCCUGUCCAGCUUUUUCAGCUCUAGCACAUAAUUCCACUUGCUCAGUCAGCUCCAGUUUUGUGAAGAGGCAGUGAAUUGAAAUGGUGGAGUGCGUGGAAUAGCACGAGGAGGCCUUGUAGGCUUGAUGCUUACUGGCCUCUAUGCUCUCUAUAAUAACUGGGAGCAUAUGAAGGGCUCAGUACAACGACAAUCCCUCUGAGCAGGGUCAUGAGGACUGAUUAUAGGACACUUAUGUAGUUCACCAAUCAAAUUGAUUGCAAAAUCUGUCUGGUGAUGUCCCUUCAUAUUUUAUUUACAAUUAGUGUGAAACUGAAAGGAAGCUAUUGUACUGUGAGGAAGUGCAUUGACUGGUACAUCUCUUCUAGCCAGCAGACUACUGGAGGCAGCAGUACCUGGUGGGUCUGCAAAUGAUUACAAUGUGGCUAUUAACUUCUCCUCAGAAGGCAGAGAUUGUCUCCCCAGUAUCUCACUUUCUACUAAUCCUGGACAUAAGCUCCAAGAUCUGGUCCCCUAACUCAGCUCACAUAGACAGUGCUAUGCCACCAGGUUCAUUGGUUAUUUCUGUACUAUGAUUGCUACUUUCUAGCCAAUAAAGUUUGAGUCCCUAGAGGUAACUGCUGCAAUUCUAACAAAUAAAAAUGGUUUUGUAAGCCACUGUUAAUUCA